rnacentral:lncRNA from 1 species
CUUCAAUUCAUCCCAGGUUUUCAGACCUACUCUUCAGUUCCACUGUACCUGCCACCCAAGAACUUCCAUGAGGGUCUUGAGGAUUAAAUGAGUUACUCUGCUGAGAUUCAUGUCUGAUAAUAAACCCGCAACAACCAUUAUG